CUGUCUUGUUAUUGUGUCUCAUCUUAUUCUUAGAUCUGACAUCAAUCUAGAUCUAUGGUUGCCAAAGUAUUUUGCAUAUUAUUCAAAACGUAUUGUUCAUUUAUAUUUCCUUUGCAACUUCUUGCCUGCACAUAUCAACUGAUGUCAUAAGCGCCAGACUACUUUUCUUAGUUACACUUCAUUUUGCGUGGGUUACUAUUGAGCUUAACUGUACUACUGUAAUUGCUGUUGAAGGAAUAGCGUCAACUCAUGUUGAUAACAUCACAGUGGCUUACAGGUUCAUCAAAUUGGAUGUUUAUUCUUCAGAUUGGUUUGUCAUCAUGCUGCACUUAUCACACAAACUUUGCUAUGGAGGAGACAGUGUUAUUGACAGACCCAGACAUCUAGGUAGCCUAUUAUAGAUUCUGCUUCUCUGAGCCCUAUGAAUUCAGUCUUUCUGUUAUAACAUCUUUCAUAGGCUAAAAGCAAUUAUUUUUUUUUAUUGUUUUACUUCUUUCAGUCAUGUGACUGCGGCCAUGCUGGAGCA